CUCAAUUGCUUUAGACAACCUAUUCUACUGCCUUUCAUGGAAGCCAACUCACAAGUUAGCAAUCAUUUCUUCUUCUUCUUCGUUCGCCUCAGCAACUAUGAGUGGGACCACUUGUUCAGACGUCCCACUCUGAUCUGAUUCGUCUAUCUCAGGUGCCUUGUCGGGAAUGACUAAGGAUAUUGGAACUUGUGGGCGAGCAAUUAGACAAGAAGUGUUUUGCACUUUAGCCGUCCUUGGGGCAAAAAUCGAUGUUGGAUGGGAUGAUGAAGUUGGAGCUUGACAUAGAGUUCCUUCCUAACACUUUUUUUCACGCACUUCCAUAUGAGUUUGUCGUGCCUUAGCGUCCACGAGUUGAGCGACUUCAUAGAACGAUAAGUCUUUCAAAACAAAGUGUUCAACAG
rnacentral:lncRNA from 1 species